rnacentral:rRNA from 1 species
CCUACGGGUGGCAGCAGUAGGGAAUCUUCCACAAUGGGCGCAAGCCUGAUGGAGCAACACCGCGUGAGUGAAGAAGGCUUUCGGCUUGUAAAGCUCUGUUGUUGGAGAAGAACGUGCGUGAGAGUAACUGUUCACGCAGUGACGGUAUCCAACCAGAAAGUCUCGGCAAACUACGUCCCAGCAGCUCCGGUAAUACGUAGGUGGGAAGCGCUAUCCGGUUUUAUUUGGCGAAAGGCGAGGGCAGGGGUUUGUUAGGUCUGAUGUGAAAGCGUUCGGCUUAACCGAAGAAGUGCAUCGGAAACCGGGAUGCUUGAGUGCAGAAGAGGACAGUGGAACUCCAGGUGUAGCGGUGAAAUGCGUAGAUAUAUGGAAGAACACCAAUGGCGAAGGCAGCUGUCUGGUCUGCAACUGACGCUGAGGCUCGAAAGCGUGGGUAGCGAACAGGAUUAGAUACCCCAGUAGUC